CCUCAAUCCUAAUUAAAAUUUCAAUACACUGAGUUGAAUACAAAUGUUUUUCACUUUUAUAUUGUCUUUUCAUCGUGGCUAACAAAGCAUUUAAUAAACAUUGAUGGAAGCCUCACAUCACACUGUGAUUCAGUAAUUUACUUUUUGCACAUCUCACCUUGAAAAUGAAAACAAGUUAACCAGAAAGCGAAACUGAUUAUGUACUAGAGCAGCUGGAUUUGGGUUGCAAACACUACGGAGAAGAGGAAACUCAAACAAAACCCUAGAUAAUCAUGAAAAACCUUGAGACAGAUGGACAGUGAGACUGACAAAUAAGGAAAAGAAAGAAAAAACAAAAGCCAAAUACUGCUAACAUGAAGCUAUUACCUGACGAAUUGUAAAAUACUCAUUCUCUGUCGUCAUAAUUGGAUCUCCUUGUUUGUAACCACUUACAGGUUUUUCUGGAACAGUUUGCAAAGGAAUCUUAUAUGAAGGAACUAGAGAUGAAGAACUGCAAACAAAUUUAAAAAGAUAAAUGAUUAGUGUAUCACC